GUAUUGCCGGAUAACACGAACAGAUUUUCAAACAGAUCCAAAUGCAUGUGGACCUCAGCGCACUCUUACAGUCUGAAGAACAACAAAACGCUGAAGAAAUGGGUGAUUCAGAGCUAAACACUUUAAACAUCAGCAAUGCCAUUGAUGCUGUAUUACCUGAACUCUCAAUCGCAACUAAAAAAUCUCUUGAGGACACCUUAAAGUCACUUGGAGUGGAGUCCCCAGAAGAUUCAAGCCAGGAAAUUUAUUUCUGUUCUAAAGGAGACCACACAAAUUUCUGAAAGAGGAAGUGAAGGUUCUCAUGAAAUCUACAUACUAGAGUCAACGAAAAGAUAUCAACAAAGGAACAGACAUGAAAACCCUUACUGAAGAGUGGCCAUUUUUGUUUCAGGAAAGUGGAAUGGAAGUGCACUUUAAAGACCUCACAGGGAUACCACUUAAAGAGAUCUUCCUAAACAGCAUUGACACAAAGGGAAACAGGCUGUUGAACUUCAUGAGGAAUGUUUGUGCAACCAGGAACAAGCGUGUUACGAGCUGUCACAAAACUUCAAGUUUUGAGAGGACAGACAAAUGGUUGAUUCUUCUACUUCUCAAAAUUCUUGACUUGAUUCUUCUACUUCUCUCCUAUUUUGAUGAGAAAGAGGCGCUCCUUCUUCAUUAUGUAGAAGAGACAAGCCUUGAAAAGGAUGAAGAGUUGGGAAACUUGCCUGUGACCCCUUGCAUCAUUGUCUGUGUGGUGGUCUGUGCCUCCUCUUCUGGAAAGACACCUGCUUAA
ensembl:lncRNA